rnacentral:rRNA from 1 species
AUUCGCAAUUCACAAACCUGAUGCAGCGUCGCCGCGUGAGCGAGGAAGGCCUUCGGGUCGUAAACCUCUGUCCUCGGGGACGAGGGUGAGGUCCCCAAGGCAGCAGCCCCGGUCACUGCCUGGCCGCAAUCCCAGGGAUCAUACGUGCCAGCAGCCGCGG